GCCUGGGUGGCUCAGUCGGUUAAGCGUCUGACUUCAGCUCAGGGCACGAUUUCACGGUUCGUGGGUUUGAGCCCCGCGCUGGGCU
rfam:Felis catus isolate Cinnamon breed Abyssinian chromosome A3, whole genome shotgun sequence.